rnacentral:rRNA from 2 species
GGGUGAGUAACACGUGGGCAACCUGCCUGUAAGACUGGGAUAACUUCCGGAAACCGGAGCUAAUACCGGAUAAUUCCUUUCCUCUCAUGAGGGAAGGCUGAAAGAUGGCAUCUCGCUAUCACUUACAGAUGGGCCCGCGGCGCAUUAGCUAGUUGGUGAGGUAACGGCUCACCAAGGCAACGAUGCGUAGCCGACCUGAGAGGGUGAUCGGCCACACUGGGACUGAGACACGGCCCAAACUCCUACGGGAGGCAGCAGUAGGGAAUCUUCCGCAAUGGACGAAAGUCUGACGGAGCAACGCCGCGUGAGUGAUGAAGGUUUUCGGAUCGUAAAACUCUGUUGUUAGGGAAGAACAAGUACCGGAGUAACUGCCGGUACCUUGACGGUACCUAACCAGAAAGCCACGGCUAACUACGUGCCAGCAGCCGCGGUAAUACGUAGGUGGCAAGCGUUGUCCGGAAUUAUUGGGCGU